GCCUCUAUGGCCAAGCGGUAAGGCGCAGCACUUGUAAUGCUGAGAUCACUGGUUCAAAUCCGGUUGGAGGCA